CCGCCCACCCGCCCUGCUCGCGGGUCCGGAGGUCUAGCCGCCAGCCGCCUCACAGUCCCCAGCUGAUUCUGCUUUCCCCUGGACGUGUCGCUUACACUUCCAUGUUGCCUCUGCCUCGUCGUACACAACCGCUGGAAGAGAAGAACCUCACGUUACGCCAGCUCUGCUCUGCUCACCGUUUCUGUGUGUGUGCCGCAAGGCACUCUGGGACCGCCGUGGUGCAUGCCGGGAUCGCUGCAGGGCUCGCCCGGAUCCUCCUUAAUUCUAGGCUCCCGACUGCUGAGAUCACAGGAGGCGGGGACAAGGCAGGGGCAGCAGACGCCAUCCGGACCAGAAAAAGCCAGGAGAGACCAGAAGGUGCCUGGUCCCUGAGAGUCUGGUCCACUAACUCCAGGGACUGUGGGACAGAGGAACA
rnacentral:lncRNA from 1 species